rnacentral:rRNA from 1 species
UUUAUGGAGAGUUUGAUCCUGGCUCAGGAUGAACGCUGGCGGUGUGCCUAAUACAUGCAAGUCGAGCGAACGGACGAGAAGCUUGCUUCUCUGAUGUUAGCGGCGGACGGGUGAGUAACACGUGGAUAACCUACCUAUAAGACUGGGAUAACUUCGGGAAACCGGAGCUA